ensembl:lncRNA
CAUAAAUGGCCUUUCUGUGCUCCUGAUUUACAUGCAUUGGACCAUCUCCAUAUGAAGUUCAUCUCCAUAUGAAGUUUUAUGUCCAACACUGGGAAGCGCAUUCAAAAAAGGAAUCAGAGUUCAGAUAAGUGCUACAGAAAGCACCUACAAAACCUGACCUGAAGGAAGAAAGAAAAGUUUUCAUUUCGAAGAAAGAAUCCUGAGAUGUGAAAUGUUGAUAGACCCAGAUGCUCACUGCAGGAUACAAACUUCUUGCCAUCUUUUCUCCAACAACAUACUUGCCAAAAUGAAGAAGAUUCAUUUUUCCUUCCCUCUAACAACCACAUUAUUUGAGCAGUAAAAUCAGCAUGUGUACAUAACAGCAAAAUCUAUCAUCCAUAAAAAUUAUGAAAAUUUAGAGAGGAUUCUGG